rnacentral:piRNA from 1 species
UGGUCUGCUAACUUUGGAGUCUUUUAUGAU